CAUACAGCCUAGGUGUGCAGUAGGCUGUACUAUCCAGGUUUGUGUAGGUACACUGUAUGAUGUUGGCACAAUGAUAAAAUCACCUACUGACACAUUUCUCAGAACAUAUUCCCAUAGUUAAGUGACAGCAUGACUAUAAUGGAAUACUAG